AAUCCAUGUAUCAGACAUUUAUGCAGUAAGUCUUUGAAUCUCUCUCAUGCCUCAUACAAUUUCUCAUCUUCUAAUUGCUUAAAAUAUGUCAAGUCGUUUCUUAGAUU